rnacentral:SRP_RNA from 2 species
GCCAGGUGUGGUGGUGCACGCCUGUGGUCUCAGCUACUCUGGAGGCUGAGGCAGAAGGAUUGCUUGAGCCCAGGAGGUCGAGGCUGCAGUGAGCUAUGAUUACACCACUGCACUCCAGCCUGGGCGAUAGAGUGAGACCCUGUCUCAA